UAAAUCGGUUUCGAUCCAAACUGAGUUUUAUUGAUUCUUCUAAGUGCCAUUCUGUUUUCUCAGUUGUCUCGACUAUUUUUCUAUCUCCGGUGAAGAUUUGGAGUUUUUUGUCUGAUGGCUCAAGUCUGUUGUUCCUGAGGAUGUAUAUUGUUCUUGAGGCCCUAUGUUCCAGAGGCUUAUUGAUCCGCCACUGUUUUUUGUGCUUGUUGUUCAAACAAUCUGAGGGAGACCACUACUUCUUUAGGUCACACCAUGCACCUGAAGGCCUGAAGAUCCAACUCAUUCAUUUAUACAACUUAUUGUUCAAACUCCAGUUGUUUUGUGUCAAAACAUUUUGAGUUUGAGGGGGAGUGUUAGUGUAUGGAUAUCUAUAUUGAUAAACUGUAUGGAUAUCUAUAUUGAUAAACAUCAUUAGUGAUAUAUAUUAGUAUGGAUAUGUAUCUAUAUGGGUAUAUAUCUUUUGAUAAGAGUAGGUGGUGUCUAUCCAUAACCAUUGGUAUGUAACUUUAAAUGUUAGUAUCUAUCCAGAACUACUAUUAGCCAUAUGUUUAUACGGGUCUUGUGUAUUCUUUUAUCAAUCAAACACAUAGAGUUCUCU
rnacentral:lncRNA from 1 species